CCCAGGGAUGAGACUGGUUGGCAGCAAAUGGGUCUUCAAGGCCAAGACAGACCAGAAUGGCAAGGUUGUCAGGCACAAAGCCAGAUUGGUUGCCAGAGGUUUUUCACAGGUACCAGGACAGGAUUACCACAAGACCUACUCACCCACAGUCAAAUAUGAGAGCAUUCGGCUGAUGCUCAAGAUAGCUGCAGAGGAGAAACUGCAUGUUUCCCAUCAUGACAUUAAUACAGCUUUUUUGUACGGG